CUUGAGCAGAGCUGGGCUCGAGUACGUUACGCAUUCGGUUGCUUAGUAACGAGACUCAGGUAGUUCAUAGCUGCUGUAGCUAAUGCUACGAUGUUUACUGUAAAUCAUGCUGCAUUUUGGAGUUUAUAGCGCCUCAGAAUCACGUUAUAAUCCCACUUAAACUCGGACAAACUCAUUAAACUUAAAUGGGAAUCAUUUCGGUCGGGGUGCUGAAGGUAACGAGGGCGUGGCUUGUGGUGUAGAGGGGCGGGGCUGGAGGUGACCUGCUACAGACUGCAGAGAAAGAGCAGCUGGAUUUGUGCCCAAAACAGGUUCAAACUGUGCAUAACGGACAGUUAAACCUCCUCACUUUAAAGCAUAUUUAAUGAGAUGUCAGCCACACUCCUCUGAACAUCAUCAAAAUGUACUUUUCACACCUUUCAACUGGACUGUUUACACUGGAAAGAACUACUUUCCCACGGGCCAGGGUUUCUCUUAUCAGACUCAUUCACUGGUUGACUGAAGAAACUCCUCCCUCUAGAUUCAUCUAUGUGCAUGGUUUCCUAGGCGAACAACGCUGCAGUACCUGCAAAAACAAACACGAUGGAAUCCAGAGUGCUUUCUGCCCGAGGGUGGUAGAUGAACAUCUUAUCCGGAGGGAACAAAGGGAUAUGAAAGCAAAGCUUUCAAAUAAGAAUGCAGAACAGCUGGACUGACAUUGGCAGAGAUAAAGAAGCAGGUCAGAUCUCCUGUGGACUCUGCUUUUUAAACAUUCUACAGUGGAUCUUCAUAUCUCCCCGCACCGUUCUCAAAGGAGGAAAGCAGCGUUUGAAAUCUUCUGCUGUGUUUACAUUUACAUCUACUCUUUUGGCCGACGCUCCUACCCAGAGCAACUUACCAACCGAUGAACCAUUAAACUGAUAAACUAGACCAAGAAAUACUGAAAGAGUUUGUGACUCAACAAUUAAUAAAUACAUAAAUACAGUGUAAUAGCA
rnacentral:lncRNA from 1 species